CUAAGGAGACUGCCGGUGGACAAACCGGAGGAAGUGGGGGAUGACGUCAAGUCAUCAUGGCCCUUACGGCCAGGGCUACACACGUGCUACAAUGGUCGGUACAAAGGGUUGCCAAGCCGCGAGGUGGAGCUAAUCCCAUAAAACCGAUCGUAGUCCGGAUCGCAGUCUGCAACUCGACUGCGUGAAGUCGGAAUCGCUAGUAAUCGUGAAUCAGAAUGUCACGGUGAAUACGUUCCCGGGCCUUC
rnacentral:rRNA from 1 species